AGCCCUUUCCCAGGCGGUAGCGGGGGCAGUGGUGCUGUUGCCCUUUUAAACUGCGGCUUGACGGGAGCCGCGCCUCCUGUCGGUGGAGUCGGUUAUAAAGGGAGCAGCCCCGCAGGCCGCCACAUAGCUCCCGCCAAGUCCUCGGUGCCCCUUGCCAUUUUCCAGCCGCGCUCCCACGAGGGUCACGGCGGCGGGGAGAGGUGGAGCCGCGAGAGCUCGGCCGGGGGCCCCGCCUGGUGGUCGCGGCCAUGACAGCGGCUCGGGACAGGCUCCUUUUCCGCGCCCCUCCCGCCGGAGGUGAGGGGAAGAUGUCCAUGUCCGGGUUCAAGGCCAAACCGAAGUUACUGGCCUCUAUCUUCCAGGAGAACCAGGAGCCACAGCCGCGGCUCACGCCCCACCGCAACAUUAAGAUUACAAGUGGACACCUGAGUCAGCAGGACCUGGAAUCCCAGAUGAGAGAGCUUAUCUACACGACUCAGAUCUUGUUGUCACCCCCAUUAUUGACAAUCCAAAGGUGCAGAAAGCACUCUGACAAUUCCAAUUGCUAAUCCAGCAUUUGUGGAUAGCUGCAAACUGCGAUAUUGCUGAUGAGCGCUUUGACGCCACAUUCCACACUAACGUGUUGGUGAAUUCUUCUGGGCAUUGCCAGUACCUGCCUCCAGGCAUAUUCAAGAGUUCCUGCUACAUCG
rnacentral:lncRNA from 1 species